rnacentral:rRNA from 1 species
AAUCAACGCUGGCGGCGUGCCUAACACAUGCAAGUCGAACGAGAAAGGGGAGCAAUCCCUGAGUACAGUGGCGUACGGGUGAGUAACACGUGGGUGAUGUACCUCUUUGUGGGGAAUAACCUGGGGAAACCCGGGCUAAUACCGCAUACGUCCGUGAGGAGAAAGGCGCAAGCCGCAGAGAGAGCAGCCCGCGGCCGAUUAGCUAGUUGGCGAGGUAAGAGCUCACCAAGGCGACGAUCGGUAGCCGGCCUGAGAGGGCACACGGCCACACUGGCACUGAAACACGGGCCAGACUCCUACGGGAGGCAGCAGUGGGGAAUCUUGCACAAUGGGGGAAACCCUGAUGCAGCGACGCCGCGUGAGCGAUGAAGCCCUUCGGGUGUAAGCUCUUUCGGCAGGAACGAUAAUGACGGUACCUGCAGAAGAAGCUGCGGCUAACUACGUGCCAGCCGCCGG